GGGAGCGUCAUCAUGACUCGAUCAUAAAGUUCUGGCUUAUUUUUCUCGGUAAUGUGUAAAUUACUCUUUUAAUUUUUUUUUCCAUCGUCCCUUGAACAAAAACAGUUUGAAAUUGGUCUCAAAUACUAAAUUCCCAUGGAGUCGUCGUCUUCCUAUGAGCUAAAUGCCGCCGUAUCAUCGUGGGAAUUUCUCGUUUUAUUCCUCUUUCGUCCCCUCCUUGCUAUCGCCUUCGUCCUCUUCUUACUUCUCUUAGGUUGGUUCUUUGCUUGGAAAUUAGUGCUGGUUCAUGUCCCUUUGGUCCAAGAAAUCUUCAAUUUGCGGGAGAAACCCGUCAAGCUGAAACCUGAAAAACGGGGGAGGUUGACUCAAUUCUAUAACAACUUGGACUCACAGUCUUCUGCCUCCAAUUGGUGUUCGCACUGGACCAGAAACGGAGCCACUAACCGCUUCCCCUUCGGCAUCAUUCUUCUGACUAGCACUUAUUCUGGAUGUGGACAGUAAGGACAAGAUAAAUCCAAUAUUGGAGAAUGCACCAUCUUAUUUGGGAGUUCGAAAUUACACAUUGAAGGUAAAAAAAAAAGCAACCACUUCCCCGAUGGUGUGAUUAAUCCCAAGAUGACCAGCAACUGUAGAGUCAUGCAACAACUUCAAUUUUUUUCAUCCUUAAAGAUAAGACUGUAUAGGUAGGCUGUAAGCGUAAUGUUGUCCAGGAUUCGAAGCUGAAGCUUCUUGUGCUUUGGGGAGUAUCAGGAGCCAUUCUCUGUAAUCAGCACAUAUAUCUUCAUUCGUGUAUAACAUUUGGGUUAGCGAUUGCAAGGCCAAAUCUUUGCAAUGAAAUCAGAUAAUAACGCGUAGUCAGGGACGAAGAAGAUUAUGGAGCGUUCUGCAGAUGGUCGACACUACUUUGAAAUGCAUUAGUAUGAAUUUGGAGGGAGAAGUUCCCUUUAUUAUUUCUCUAUUUACUUUUACUUUUUGAUAAGUUGAUAUGUUACAAUUGUAAUUAUAUUGUGGUUUCAGUGUAAGGGGUUGAUGAUUCUACUGGAUACCAAGAAAUACAAAAGCUAUGCAAAUUGCUCGGAAACAUUAGAUUUAA